ACGAACGCUGGCGGCGCGCUUAACACAUGCAAGUCGAACGGAAAGGCCUGCUUUCCCUUGUGGAUUGCGGGUACUCGAGUGGCGAACGGGUGAGUAACACGUGAGUGAUCUGCCCCCAACUUGGGUAUAAGCCUGGGAAACUGGGUCUAAUUCCCGAUAGGACUGCAGGGUGGUGCCUGUGGUGGAAAACGAUUUUCUAGUGGUUGGGGAUGAGCUCGCGGCCUAUCAGCUUGUUGGUGGGGUAAUGGCCUACCAAGGCGGCGACGGGUAGCCGGCCUGAGAGGGUGGACGGCCACAUUGGGACUGAGAUACGGCCCAGACUCCUACGGGAGGCAGCAGUGGGGAAUACUGCACAAUGGGCGGAAGCCUGAUGCAGCGACGCCGCGUGGGGGAUGACGGCCUUCGGGUUGUAAACUCCUUUCGACCGCGAGGAAGCCACCUGGUUGGAAGGGUGGUGACGGUAGUGGUAGAAGAAGCACCGGCUAACUACGUG
rnacentral:rRNA from 1 species